AUACGGAGGAUCCGAGCGUUUUCCGGAUUUAUUGGGUUUAAAGGGUGCGCAGGCGGCCACUUAAGUCAGCGGUUAAACCGUGGGGCUCAACCCCAUUCUGCCGUUGAUACUGGGUGGCUUGAUUGCGGUCGAGGUUGGCGGAAUUCGUUGUGUAGCGGUGAAAUGCAUAGAUAUGACGAAGAACACCGAUUGCGUAGGCAGCUGACCAGACCGCAAAUGACGCUCAUGCACGAAAGUGCGGGGAUCGAACAGGAUUAGAUACCCUGGUAGUCCGCACAGUAAACGAUGAAUACUUGUUUUCGGCGAUAUAAUGUCGGAGGCAAAGCGAAAGCGAUAAGUAUUCCACCUGGGGAGUACGCCGGCAACGGUGAAACUCAAAGGAAUUGACGGGG
rnacentral:rRNA from 1 species